UCAGAGGGAAUAUGUUUUUUCUAAUAUAAUGUCUCCGUGCCUAAAAUACGUGAAAUCUGGUCAUAACUUCACCUAACUCCCAUAUACUUAAUAUUAGGGUUUUCAAACUUUCAAUUGACACUUAAGCGGGGAUCACUGUAUAAGAAUUCGGAAUUGGCGAUACUACACAAAACAACCACUUGAAAUUUGCGGAUGAUAUUCUCUGUCAUGAAAGUCAACAACUGAGUCGACUAGGUAUAUUUGAAACGAAGACUAUGAAAGACAAUCACUCCAGCAAAUGUCAAGAAUUGGAAUUACGUGAUCGAAUUUAUUGACUGCUUCUGCUGCCUGGGAAGAAUUAUAACAACUAACGGUAGAGCCGAAUAGGAUGUCACGUGUAGAAUUAUAAGAUGACUCGUAAAUCUUCAGGAAUAUAAAACUCAUAACAUUCACCGCAGGCGUGAAGUUGACGCGGUUGUUUGGAAACGAAACUUGGCGCUGGAUACACCAUGAUGUGAAUAUGUCCAAACCGCGUGAGAUGAAAACAGCUGAUUGGGACACUAAACCGCAGAGAGAACAGUGGAAAGUAACGGUGCCCUUACCACGUCAUGGUGUGUUUUCCCACAUGAAACAUGGACCAAGAAGCUCAACUCUUGAAUAUUGAAACUUAGUAAUUCAAUUGAGGAGUGGAUUGACUGCCUUACUCCUAACACCAUUCUGGAAUUCAUUAGAAUUCCGGGAUUAAUGGAACCGAUGUAGACAUCGGAAGAGCAAAAUAUACCUUAGACUCACACAUCCAACAUCCCUCCCCCUUUGGCCCGACCUCAUUGAAGCAGAUCGUUUUCUGGACCUCUCUUUAAAUGAACUUGGUGACAAUUAAUUUAUACUUACCAUUUCAAAAAUGUUUUAGAUAACCGGCACAACAACAACAGCAAUGCUAUUUUAAUUUAAAGAGGUUUGUUCAUUUAAAUGCAAAUCUUGGCCUUUGUAGGUUUCACUUUUGGGUUUUAAUUAUACUCUCGCAACAAACUUGCUAAGAGGUCAAAAACCAUAUCUCAGGAACUACUCGACAGAUUUCAAUGAAAUUCGGUAUAUAAUAUUUUCUUGACACCCUGAUGACACGUGGAAAAUGGUAGAGUUCACAACCACGACAACUUCCCAUAUAACUCAAUUUUGAAUUCCAUCUGAUUCCUGGACUUUAUAAUGUAUACAUAAGGAACCGAUAAAGAUAACGGAAUAAACCUUUACACAAAUACUGUAUAUCAUCUAUGGCUUCACUUAUGGAACAGUUGUCGAAAUCGGACUAUAACAUUUCAAGACCCCGGAUAUCGAACAUGAAAAACUCAGUGCCUAAAGGUAUUUCCUUAUAUAGUCCAAAAAUGGAGUCCUUCCAUACAAAGGUUAUGUAGAAAACUACUAAAAAUGCUUUAAUUCAGUAAGGAAAACCAGAAGCCUUAAAUUUCAUUAUAAAGAAGGCACAGAAGAGCUGCAUUCAAAAUUGUAAACAAAAAUUUUAAAUGGGCGUGGUUCCGCCCACUUAUGGGUCAAAAACCAUAUCUCCGAAACUACUCGACCAAUUUCAAUGAAAUUCGGUUUGUAAUAUUUCCCUUGCAUCCCAAUUAUAUGUUGUGAAAAUAGGCCAAAUCGGUUCACAACCACGCCUACUUCCCAUAUACCAGAAUUUUGAAGCCAAUCUGAAUCGUUUACUUUACAAUAUAUAAAGGAAGCACCAGUGCAGAUAUCGGAAUAGAACUUUGCACAAAUUCUGCAUUUAUAGUGUGGCAUCGGAGAAAAUCGGAUUAUAACCACGCCCACCUCCCAUACAAAGGUUAUGUAUAAAACUACUAAAAAUGCUUUAAUUCAGUAAAGAAAACCAGAAGCCUUAAAUUUCAUUAUAAAGAAGACACAGAAGAGCUGCAUUCAAAAUUGUAAACAAAAUUUUAAAAUGGGCAAAAUCGGACCAUAAGUAUUCAAGGACUCAUACAUCGAAUAUGAGGACCUUAGAUCUUCGAAUAAAUUUUUUAACGAAAAUAUAGGUGAAUCUCUCAGAUAUUUUGAAUAAAUUCAGAGGGAAUAUUUUUCUUCUAAUAUAAUGUCUCCGUGCCUAAAAUACGUGAAAUCGGGUCAUAACUUCACCUAACUCCCAUAUACUUAAUAUUUGGAUUUUCAAACUUUCAAUUGACUUUAUACCAUAUAUAUGCCGAAUAUGUGGGUCAAAUUGUUUGUUAUCUUAAUAAAAUUAAAUAAAUAAAUUGCGAGAGUAUAAAAUGUUCGGUUACACCUGAACUUAGCCCUUUGUUUUCUUUCAGAAUAUUUCUUAUUAAUUAAAAAAAUAUUCGUAUUAAUAACAAUAAAUAUGGAAAAAACAUUACAAAACUAUGUAUACGUUUUCCUUUUGACAAUUCUCGGCGCAUUAAAUGUCAAAAAUAUGAAAAGGCACUUAAAAGAGGAAAAUUGCAAACAAUUUUGUAUUUGUGGCUUAAAUAUUACGCGCAUUUAAGCGGACCCUCUUAAGCGGGAAAUUUUAUAUGUAAAUUUAGAAAAAAACAACGAUGACGCAGAAUAUGGUCACUUAAGCGGGAGAGGCACAGAUAUAUUUGAAACGAAGGCUAUGAAAAACAAUCACUCCAGCAAAUGUCAAGAAUUGGAAUUACGUGAUCGAAUUUAUUGACUGCUUCUGCUGCCUGGGAAGAAUUAUAACAACUAACGGUAGAGCCGAAUAGGAUGUCAAGUGUAGAAUUAUAAGCGUUAAGAUGACUCGUAAAUCUUCAGGAAUAUAAAACUCAUAACAUUCAUCACAGACGUGAAGUUGACGCGUUUGUUUGGAAACGAAACUUGGCGCUGGAUACACCAUGGUGUGAAUAUGUCCAAACCGCGUGAGAUGAAAACAGCUGAUUGAGACACUAAACCGCAGAGACAGUGGAAAGUAACGGUGCCCUUACCACGUCAUGGUGUGUUUUCCCACAUGAAACAUGGACCAAGAAGCUCAACUCUUGAAUAUUGAAACUUAGUAAUUCAAUUGAGGAGUGGAUUGACUGCCUUACUCCUAACACCAUUCUGGAUUUCACCAGAAUUCCGGGAUUAAUGGAAUCGAUGUAGACAUCGGAAGAGCAAAAUAUACCUUAGACUCACACAUCCAACAUCCCUCCCCCUUUGGCCCGACCUCAUUGAAGCAGAUCGUUUUCUGGACCUCUCAUUAAAUGAACUUGGUGACAAUUAAUUUAUACUUACCAUUUCAAAAAUGUUUUAGAUAACCGGCACAACAACAACAGCAAUGCUAUUUUAAUUUAAAGAGGUUUGUUCAUUUAAAUGCAAAUCUUGGCCUUUGUAGGUUUCACUUUUGGGUUUUAAUUAUACUCUCGCAACAAAAGUUGCUAAGAGAGUGUUAGAGUUUUGUUCACAUAACGGUUGUUGGUAAGUCAUAAAACAAAACGAUAUAGGGUUAUAUAUAUCAAAAUGAUGAGGGCGACGUGACGAGUCAAAAUCCCAAUGUCUGUCUGUUCGUGCAACGGAUAACUUGAGUAAAAAUUCAGAUAUCUUAACGAAACUUGGCACACAUGUUCCUUGGCACCGUGAGACUGGUGCUUUCGAAAAUGGGUAAAUCGGACCUCUGCCACGCCCACAAAAUGGCGAAACCCGAAAACACAUAAAGUGUCAUAACUAAGCCAUAAAUAAAGAAAUAAAAGUAAAAUUUGGUGCAGAGGAUCGUCCUAGUAAGGGCCAUAUUUGGAUGUAAUUUUUUUGGGCAAGUGGGCGUGGCCCCACAAAAUAGGUUUUUUUUAUAUCUCGCAAACCAAUAAAGCUAUAUACACCAAAAUUUCUGCAGUCGUUUUUUUAGUCACUUCUUAAUACAGUCCACAAAUGAAAGAAAUUGGAUAGUAACCACGCCUCCACCUCCCAUACAAAGGUUAGGUUGAAAAUUACUGAAAGUGCGCUAACUCACUAACGAAAAACCUCAGAAAAACUAAAUUUUACAAAAGAAAUGGCAGAAAGAAGCUGCACUCAGAUUUUUUUUUACAAAAUGCCCACUUACUGGUCAAAAACCAUAUCUCAGGAACUACUCGACAGAUUUCAAUGAAAUUCGGUAUAUAAUAUUUUCUUGACACCCUGAUGACACGUGGAAAAUGGUAGAGUUCACAACCACGACACGUCGUGGCAACACGUCAAACUGUGAAGUUUAAUUUUUCCUCGGUUCUUGAAUUUGUGCUUAAAUUUAUUAAUAUAAUUGAAGAAAGUUUUACUUUUAAUAAGUGUAAUCUAAAGCUAAGUAUUUGUGCUAAUUUGCUUUUGUGUUAUAUUUAAAUUUUAAUUGUAUUUUAACUAUUUUCUUAAAUUCUGGUGCCGAGUCUUUUAAAUCAUUUGUUGUUGUUAUCAAUUAUCAAUUUUAUUUCCUACUUUGCAAUUGUUUGUGCGAUUGCAUAUUGUUUUUGUUUUAAUUUGCUCUUUUUCUUUUGAUUCGUCUUUUUUUCUUUCAUUUUUGCUCACAGCUGUUUGCGUAUUAUUUUUAAGUGGCUCAGUGCUUCUCAAACUGCUCACUAUUAUAUUGGUUGUGAUCUCGGCUAAUUCAGUAUAACUAUUAUUGUUUUUCUAUUUACUAUUAUAUCAUAUUUUAAUUUUUAUUAUUAUUUACUAUUCUGUUUUUUCCUUCAAUUUAAUUUUUUUUUUUUUUUUUUCAUAAUGACUUGCAAUUUUCCGAAUUGUACUAUUAAAGGCGAUUCUGAUCGUUUUGUUUCUUGUUGGCUUUGUGACGGGCUUGCCCAUCUUAAAUGUGCUGGAUUGACAGGUAGAUUCUAUUCUCGAUGGAAAGGGUCUGCGCUGGUCGUGCUUAAAGUGUAGACCGACAGAUAUUGAAUUAUUUAAAGUUUUUAAACAGGCGCGCAAUAAUUUUAAAGAAAUCGGUCGAGAACUUCAAAACCUUACAGAAAAAUUUAAGCAUUAUGAAGUGUUGUUUCAAUCAUUUAAAUGCCUAAAUGAUCAAGAUGAUAAUGCUAAGCCUUCAUCAAAACGUAAACGUCCGUCUAAUGAAGAACCUGCCACUUUGUCCGUAAAAAGUAUGUCACCGGUGAAAUUAGACCUUAUUAAUCUCUCAUCUCCUUGCCCUCAAGGAGAGAAGCCCUCCUCUUCAAAAGUGCUUAAUCCUCCGAAAACAAAUAACGAUAACCUUAAGCGGAAAACUUUUCAGGAUCCGCCUCUUAUUAACUCUGAGUUUGUGGCAAAAAAUUUGGUAGUAAUACCUCAACGAAAAUCAAUUUUCGUUUCGAGAUUCGCUUCGGAUACCACAAUCGAAGAUAUAAAGUUUUACAUCUCGUCGAAAUUAAAAAUUAACGAUAUUGAUAUUGAUGUCAGAAAAUUUAACUUUAAAUACGAAAGAAACAUAUCUUCUUUCAAGAUUGGCGUUUCAGCUGUUAAUUUUCAAUUGCUACUUGAUGAAUCAUUUUGGCCACCUGGUGCUUUCGUGCGCGAAUUCGAGCAAAAGCAACAAAAACAAACUGUAAUUGCUCAUAUUCCAAAAAAUGCUGCGGAUUCAAAAAACUAAUUAUAAAAAAUUCAUUACAAAUUCACUAUCAAAAUGUAAGGGGUUUAAAUACAAAAUUAAAAGAAUUGUAUUUGAACAGCACUAAUUGUAAUUUUAAAGUCAUCGCUUUUACUGAAACUUGGCUUAAACCUCAUAUCUUUGAUAACGAAAUAUUAAAUAGUGAAUUUCAAAUCUUUAGAUGCGAUCGACUGAACAGAGUCGGGGGGGGGGG